ACAGGAACAAGCAAGAACAGGAACAGGAAGGAGAACAGAAACUCCUAGCUAGCCCAACCCGUACUGAGGAAGCGACAGGGCCCCCUCUGGCUUCAUAGUGGAUUACAUGCAAACUAUACACACCUCACCAAGUUUGCAGAACUGGGGAGGGACUAGAGCUUAGGAGUACAGCACACGCAUGCAGAGCCUGCUCCAGGUUUCCAGAGGUCCUUGGCAACCUCCCUCCAGAUGGACCUCCUUCCUAUCUGGAAAUGAAAAGCUGUGAAAUGGCUGUUGAGAAAACUAUUCAGACACCUUAUCCCCUCAGAAGGAGAAGG